AGAAACGUUCUUUGGGACAUGGCUAAAGGCUGGAAAAUACAUGUAUAGUAGCAUCUUUAACCUUUACAUAUUGUUUAUAUUCUUUGCCUUGACAGUAUGGUUCAGGGCUGUUUGCUAUGAGGUGAUUGUCUCCUGUAGGGGGGUCAAGCAUGGUAAAGGUCAUGCAGGUGGGGAGUUGUCAGAUGGCUGUCCACCCCUCACUGGGCCAAGGGGCUCUCGUGCCGCCUGUCAAAGCCUGUGGCGAAGCAGGGAGAAGAAAGGGUGUCUGGAGACGACGUGUGCCAUGCUGUCUUGGCCCCGCCCCUGGCUGCCGUGCCAGCAGUUCUAGGAGACUGACUGUGUAUCGGUGUAUCACCCGCAUCCAUCUCUCUAACCUCCAGCCCUGCCUUUCCUCAUCCCCACGAGAGGGAGCAGCGGAUCAAGAAAAGGGGAAAGAUUCGUGGAAGGAGGGAGGGAGGGAAAGAGAAGUGUUUCUGUGUCCCAAAGGAUUGGUCUCUGUCUGUCUAAAUCAGGAAGUGAGAAUGUGACGGCAGGAGAGACAGAGCAGAGACAUCCUUUCAGUGUGUGUGUGUGUGUGUGCACCUUGUUGAGCUGAGGUGUCAUAUAUGUGAAGAUCACAGCUUCACGCUGGUGGCAACCAGGGAUGAUGCUCUAAAUCACUGAAAUGCCAGAGACAACCGUUGUGAUAUGGGCCAUGUCUGUGUGUGUUUGUGCGCGUGAAUGUCUUUUGGGACAUUUGAUGGAGAUUAAUACUACUUUUAGAGUCUGAAAGUGAAAAUGUUAUCUAGUAUGUCACCUUGGAAAAAAAAGUGUGUGACAUUGUCUGAUAUAGACACACAUACUCACUUGCACAAGCGGUCUAGAUCACCAGUUUUCAGCCUUUUGUGUCUAGUGUAUUUGAAAAGCCUGAAAAGUGAAUUGAAGCACCCCUUCACUGACCAUCCAUGAAACUCUCAUGUUGAAAAUGUGAUCAUUUUAAUUGAUUUUUUUGUUAUUUAACAACAAUAAUCAUUUAAAGCACAAA